rfam:Triticum aestivum genome assembly, contig: Triticum_aestivum_CS42_TGACv1_scaffold_527535_6DL
GUCAUACUUCCUCUCUGUCUCAAAAUUUUUGUCUUAAAUUUGUCUAAAUAUGGAUGUAUCUAGUUAUGUUUUAGUGUUAGAUACAUCCGUAUCUAGACAAAUAUAAGACAAGAAUUUUGGGAUGGAGGGAGUAUUUU